UACAAGUAAAUUAAAGUUAAAACUGACUCAAAUUCCCAAGUUAUUUUAUAUUUGGAUUUUUUUAUAAUUUAUUAUUUGUUGCAACAUCACACACUGAUGGUAAACCACUUUAUUUAUGUUUUUUAUCUAAUUUCUUUUAGACUCUCAAGUUUGUACAUAAUAUUCUAUUAAGGUUUCUAAUAUUCUUUUGUAAUCUCUUUUAAUUUUAGAAAGAUAUGCUUUACUUCCUUGCGAAUGUGAAGUUGAUGAAGUUCGUCCUAAAGAAAUAUAUUUUGACAAAAUCAUUAAAUGCAUCAAUCUGUUUUGUUGUGUUGUAUAUCAUGAUAACAAGCCUUAAGAUAUGUUAUAUGGAAGAGUAUUAGUAAAAAAUAAAUGAAUAAUAUAUUAUGAUAAAAUUUAUCUUCUAAAAUAUCAUUUAUUUAUUGUUCGAACAUUUUUUUAGUUUUCUAAUUUCAUGAUCCUUGUAUCUUCUAAAAUAUCAGCUUCCUUAAAAACUACAUCUCGACUGUUGAUACAUCUCAUGUGACCUGACUCAAGGCACAUAGCCUAUAAGUUUUGACUGCUUCAGGGUAUCCCAUGAACAUGCAUCUCAGAACUCUCGGUUCGACCUUGUCAUGCAUAAUGUGAGCAUAGGCUAUGCAGCCAAAUACUCUAAAUUUGUCGAGAUUUGGGGAUGUCAUGACCAAAUUUCUUUAGUUGUCUUCAUAUCUAACACAGUCGAAGGACAUCUAUUUAUCAUAUAUGUUAUUGUCGAAACAGCCUCUUCCCAAAUACACUUCAAAGCAAUUGAUCAUUAUAUUAAAUCCUUCAAUUCAUGGGUUUAUUUAAUGUAACAUAGUUGAUCAAAACAUGAUUAAAAUGAUGACUAAAAUUAUACAUGAGCUUUUAAAGACCAAUUCCUAUAAGGUGCUAAUAUAUGUGCAUACUUUGUUUGUUUAUUUAUUUAUUCUUGUUGAGAAUUGCAUAUUGACCAUAGAACCUCUCAGGUAUGUUCUCAUCAAACAACGAAAUCUUUGGGAAAGUUAGUUAAUUACUUAUUAUCUGUUCAAUUUUUUUUUUUAGUUCUGUCUUUAUAGCCCUCAUCAACUAUGUUAGGUAACAUUUGGAAUUAGUGAAUAAUGAUUAAAGUUACCUUGCCUUGGAAACUAUCCCAAACUCAGUGAAAUUUGUCCACAUUAUUAUUUCUAAUGUUAUAUGAAGGUUGGUAGGGAAUAUCUUUGCACGGAGUCAAUUGGAUGAGAUACCUAUGAAUAUGACUUUAAGAUAUUUAUUUUACUAAAAUAAACAUCAAGCAGGUUAUAGUAUAUGUCUAUAAGAAGCUUAGGCUACUCAAAGAGGAAAAAACUUGUCGAGUUAACGCUCAAAGCCAACAAAGUCGCGCACGAAGAUGUGAAAUGUAUGGAAUGACAUCAUGAAUAUCAAAAUAAAAUAUGACGAAACUAAUCUUGAAAAGCAAAACGAGUGGCAGGACAUAUGCAAGUUUAUCCUUUAAUUGAUUAUUUUUAUUGUUGGAUAAGGCGAGUUAUUGUCCUCGCCAUUUGUAAUUUAUUUAAAAACUCUUAUAGCCGGUUAUAAAUAAUGGGGUGGAACUCUCUUCCUUACUAUAGUUGAUUAUUUCAAUGAUGCUCUCCAUAGUUCUCUUGUUUCGAUUUUUUUGUAGGGUCACAUGCUGAAAAGGACCGGUAAAAUCAUAGAAUAACUUUGGAUACUCAAAGAGGAAUCGUUGUUUCCCUACAGAGUAAUAUGUUGUUGGACUUUCACAGUAAGAUCCUUACCGCCGUUUAAAACAAUAAUAAUUGAAAUUGCUCUACCCUCUUGAGCUUUGGAUUUGAUAUAUAUAAAUAGAUAAUUAGAUUUUUGUCGGAGGAAUUAACUGCGAUAAUAAUUUAUGUGCAUUGGAUCUUGGUGGAUUCCACACCAACCUUGUUUGAAACUAUUAUUGUUUUUGAAAGUUAUGACAAUCAAAACAAAUAAAAAAUGUGACUUGCCUCUUGUCCACCAUUACUUUUCGGUUUAUACCUUGACCCUAUUUUUUCACCUAUUUUUUAUACAACAAGGGUCAAUACUUGCACCUUUGUACCAUUAAUUUGACCUAUACAAAAAAUUUCAUGUCACCCUCGUUGAUGAGUCCAAGUUGCAACUCCUUAAUGUUCAACUUUCUACUAUAAUUGCUGAUAUCAUUUGUAAUAGAGAUUAAUUAUUAUGUAUUGUCAGUGUAAAAAGUUUUACAUUAUCGAUUCAUCGCCAUCAUCCGUUUAUAUUACUUUAUAGAUUUUUAAAAUACAAGUCAAAUUUAUUUCAAUAUCUAAUUAAUCAAUAGUGUGAAAUAUCUUUACAAUUAAAUCCUUUGCAAUAUUAUAAUCAGGAUAAAGAAAAGUAAAUGUUUUAUCAAAAAUAUAAAAUAAAUUCUACCUUAAUCUUCCUAAUAAUAAUAUGGUAUGAAAAUCAUCUGAUAUAUCUACACUACAAUAAUCAAAUGUCCAAUUUGUAAUGGGGCAUUCUCUCAAUGUUCAUAUCGGUCUUAACUUUGAUUAUUUUGCUAAAGAAGUAGUGAAGUUAAUUCGUAUUUAUUUGUCUGAAUUUUAGUAUGCAUAUGCAAAAAAAAAAAAAAUUCAAAAUACCUUUUUUUCAUAAUUUUAAUUUUAAAUUAAAUUAUUUGUCAAAUUAAACUAGUGUAGAUUAUGAUAUUUAUUCUGCAUUCCAUUUUGAUUCGAAAGUCUCUCGGAUUAAAUAUGUGUGUGUUUAAGAGGAAAAACUUAAUUUCAAAAACUAAAAAUAUACCAUUUAUUCCAAAGACACAUAAAACAUGAAAACUUAACUUUUUCAUUUGAAACUCAUAUGCUUCUUCUCCCAAACUAUGAUUGUAUAAACUAUAACUAUCAUUGAGGUUGCCUACGUCAAACACUAUAUUCAAGAGGAAACAAUCUGCCAACCAAAAGUAAUUUUAUUGAAAAAAAAGGAGAGAAAUAAUUCAUUAAGUGAGAAAUAUAUAUAAUCAGUUUUUUUCAUAGUAUUGCAGUUAAAUUAGAUUUUUUUAAAAUAAUUAUAAAAUGUAAGGAUAAAAUAGAAAGAAAGAAAAAAAUGUUGGCCAAACCAAAAUGAUAUAUUUCCUUUACAUAUUGUUAAUAUUUUGAACAUAUAUUAGGUAAUUAAACUCACACAUGAUUAUAAGUUCCACAAGAAUAUUUCAAAGUGUCUAUCAUGAUUAUGCAAGGAACAAAAAAGUUUCUUGGAUCAUUAUAUAUUCACAUUUGUUAUUAUUAAGUGGCCUUCUUAUUACGUAGGUUAAAGGGACAACACAACACAUUUAAAAAAUUAAGAGGUAUUUAAUUACAAUUUUAAUUUUAUGAAAAGUUUUCACAAUUUCAUAAGGGUUAAAACAAAAAUUAAAUAUUAUCUAAGAAUAUGAAUUUUACAUGCUAUAAAGAGAUUUAACCAUGUUCUAUCUUUCACAUGUAAAGUGAAAAAAUAUGACGAAAAUUCUCAAAUUAUUUUGCAUUUCAAUUUUUUACAUUUCAUUAUUUGUUACAACAUCGCAUGCUGGUGGUAAAUCAAUUUCUUUUUGUAUUUUUUUUCUUAAUUUCUUCUACACUUUGUAAUUUGUACACAACUUUUUAUCAUAGUUUCUAAUAUUAUUUUAUAUUCUCUUUUCAUUUUCAGCAAGUUUUGCUAAACUUCACUACAAAUGUGAAGCCGAUGCCGAUUGUCCAAAUGUAGUUACCAAAUUAAUAUCUAUUAAGUGCAUUGAUCGUUUUUGUCAUAUUAUAUACAAGGAGUAAAAAGAUAAACAUGUAAUAUAUUUUGAUAUAAUAUAUCUCUAAAAUAUCAUUUAUUUAUUGUACGAGCGCCUUAUUAUUAUUAUUUGUUUAAUUUUCAAAUUUCAUGGACCUUAUAUUUAUUAUUUUGUAUUCUUUUUUUAAUUGAAAGAAAUUUUUCUAAAAUGAUG
rnacentral:lncRNA from 1 species